CUCAAAAUCACUGGCUCAAGUGAUCCUCCCAUCUUGUCCCCUCAAAGUGCUGGGAUUACAGGCAUAAGCCACUGCGCCCAGCCACAAAUUACCGUUUCCAGAUGCUCAAGCCUCCGCACAUAAAAGCAUCAGAUCUGAGCUGGCUUCAGGUGGCCUUCUGCCGACAAGAGUGGGAGAGGAUGCGUUCGUGUGGGCAAAGAUGUGCUCUGUCCAGGAAGUGGCCCCCAGGAGCCAGACAGAAGGUAAAUGUGCAGCGGGAGUGCCAGGAUGCUACGCCACCUGGCAGGUGCCUGGGGGAAGGGGCGCACAGAUGAGAGGCCGCUCCUCAGGCCCUCCACCCCACCCUCGGACACACUCGUAGCUGCAGAGGCACCAUCCCCAAGUCCCUUUCCGCAAGGGGGAACGGCUUCCUGUGCAAAUGGCAGAAGGAGAAGGCGUGUGGCUUUGGAGUCCACCCACAAGAACCUUACCAUAACGUCACAUGCCAAAUGGUAACAACUUUAGGACGACGACAGACUGCCAGUUAAUUCUGAGGAAAAUCCCCCUGAAAUCAUUUUAUAGGUAGGCAAGGUGCGGAUACAUAAACCAGAAACAAGCACACAGAGGCCUCCUUGUUUCUCCAGCCCAGAAUGAGUGAAACAGCCCUGCAGACUUGGGAGCUGGGCUCUGGCAAUGACAACUUGCCCCUAUCCAGCAAGCCGUACCCAAAAUCACCAAAUAACUCAGGCAUAUUGUAAAUUGCGCAUCUGGCAGAAAAGUCGCUGUCGCUUGUUUCAAAGCUGCUAGUAACCUUAUGAGAUCCUUCCUGAUGGAGUUAAACCCGUGGUUUGUUGAUAGAAUAUCCAAGCAUUUGACAGGCUUGCAGGGUGGCCGCACCCCAGGCCAGUUCCAACAGUCAAGCCUCUGGGAAAAGCUCUCGAAUUAAAGAAAAAUAUUCUCCUCAUUCACAAAACUCCUUCAAUGGACUAUUUAUUGACUUAGGAGCUAUUUCUAGAUAUAUCCUGUCUUCAGAAGAAUUAACAGGAAAGCACCAUUUCUCCAAAAAAUGUGUGACUGUGAGAAACAGAGGCUCCCAUCUCGCGCUAACUGAGGCGAACCCUGGAGGGCGCUGCACUGGCGAGGACGCUGCGGUCUUAGAUGUGCACAGCACUAGGUGAGAACAGACACAGAGGGACCGGGUCACAGGCUCCGGAAGGUGCUGUGGACUUGCAGAGGUCCUCACUCUAGGAAUAAGUACAUAAGGUAGGUCAGAGCUAUUGGGAGAGACUGACUGGAAAUGUACUGAAUUUGUAAUCUUGUAUAAGUUUCAUGACUGUUAUUCUGAAUCCAUAAGCAGAGCUUCCAGUCAUUCAGGGAAACAAACAAAACAUC
rnacentral:lncRNA from 10 species